rnacentral:rRNA from 1 species
UACAGAGGGUGCGAGCGUUAAUCGGAAUUACUGGGCGUAAAGCGCACGUAGGUGGCUGAGUCAGUCGAUUGUGAAAGCCCUGGGCUUAACCUGGGAAUUGCAGUCGAUACUACUCAGCUAGAGUAUGGGAGAGGGUAGUGGAAUUCCCGGUGUAGCGGUGAAAUGCGUAGAUAUCGGGAGGAACAUCAGUGGCGAAGGCGGCUACCUGGCCCAAUACUGACACUCAGGUGCGACAGCGUGGGGAGCAAACAGG